rnacentral:rRNA from 1 species
CCCUCCCUCUUUCUUCAUGCCUAACACAUGCAAGUCGAACGAGACCUUCGGGUCUAGUGGCGCACGGGUGCGUAACGCGUGGGAACCUGCCCUUAGGUUCGGAAUAACUCCCCGAAAGGGGUGCUAAUACCGGAUAAUGUCUUCGGACCAAAGAUUUAUCGCCUUUGGAUGGGCACGCGUUGGAUUAGCUAGUUGGUAGGGUAAAAGCCUACCAAGGCGACGAUCCAUAGCUGGUCUGAGAGGAUGAUCAGCCACACUGGGACUGAGACACGGCUCAGACUCCUACGGGAGGCAGCAGUGGGGAAUAUUGGACAAUGGGCGAAAGCCUGAUCCAGCAAUGCCGCGUGAGUGAUGAAGGCCUUAGGGUUGUAAAGCUCUUUUACCCGGGAUGAUAAUGACAGUACCGGGAGAAUAAGCUCCGGCUAACUCCGUG